AUUGAACGCUGGCGGCAUGCCUUACACAUGCAAGUCGAACGGUAACAGGUCUUCGGAUGCUGACGAGUGGCGAACGGGUGAGUAAUACAUCGGAACGUGCCUAGUAGUGGGGGAUAACUACUCGAAAGAGUGGCUAAUACCGCAUGAGAUCUACGGAUGAAAGCAGGGGAUCGCAAGACCUUGUGCUACUAGAGCGGCCGAUGGCAGAUUAGGUAGUUGGUGGGAUAAAAGCUUACCAAGCCGACGAUCUGUAGCUGGUCUGAGAGGACGAUUAGCCACACUGGGAAGGGGACACGGCCCAGACUCCUACGGGAGGCAGCAGUGGGGAAUUUUGGACAAUGGGCGCAAGCCUGAUCCAGCAAUGCCGCGUGCAGGAUGAAGGCCUUCGGGUUGUAAACUGCUUUUGUACGGAACGAAAAGCCCCGGGUUAAUACCCUGGGGUCAUGACGGUACCGUAAGAAUAAGCACCGGCUAACUACGUGCCAGCCGCCGCCGUAA
rnacentral:rRNA from 1 species